AACGAACGCUGGCGGCAUGCCUAACACAUGCAAGUCGAACGAUCCCUUCGGGGAUAGUGGCGCACGGGUGCGUAACGCGUGGGAACCUGCCCUUAGGUUCGGAAUAACUCAGAGAAAUUUGAGCUAAUACCGGAUAAUGUCUUCGGACCAAAGAUUUAUCGCCUUUGGAUGGGCCCGCGUUGGAUUAGCUAGUUGGUUGGGUAAAGGCCUACCAAGGCGACGAUCCAUAGCUGGUCUGAGAGGAUGAUCAGCCACACUGGGACUGAGACACGGCCCAGACUCCUACGGGAGGCAGCAGUGGGGAAUAUUGGACAAUGGGCGAAAGCCUGAUCCAGCAAUGCCGCGUGAGUGAUGAAGGCCUUAGGGUUGUAAAGCUCUUUUACCCGGGAUGAUAAUGACAGUACCGGGAGAAUAAGCCCCGGCUAACUCCGUG
rnacentral:rRNA from 1 species